GACGAACGCUGGCGGCGUGCCUAAUACAUGCAAGUUGAGCGAUGAAGAUUGGUGCUUGCACCAAUUUGAAGAACAGCGCACGGGUGAGUAACGCGUGGGGAAUCUGCCUUUGAGCGGGGGACAACAUUUGGAAACGAAUGCUAAUACCGCAUAACAACUUUAAACAUAAGUUUUAAGUUUGAAAGAUGCAAUUGCAUCACUCAAAGAUGAUCCCGCGUUGUAUUAGCUAGUUGGUGAGGUAAAGGCUCACCAAGGCGAUGAUACAUAGCCGACCUGAGAGGGUGAUCGGCCACAUUGGGACUGAGACACGGCCCAAACGCCUACGGGAGGCAGCAGUAGGGAAUCUUCGGCAAUGGGCGAAAGUCUGACCGAGCAACGCCGCGUGAGUGAAGAAGGGUUUCGGAUCGUAAAACUCGGUUGGUAGAGAAGAACGUUGGUGAGAGUGGAAAGCUCAUCAAGUGACGGUAACUACCCAGAAAGGGACGGCUAACUACGUG
rnacentral:rRNA from 1 species